GGGUUGUGAGGUUAAGCGACUAAGCGUACACGGUGGAUGCCCUGGCAGUCAGAGGCGAUGAAGGACGUGCUAAUCUGCGAAAAGCGUCGGUAAGGUGAUAUGAACCGUUAUAACCGGCGAUGUCCGAAUGGGGAAACCCAGUGCAAUUCGUUGCACUAUCGUUAACUGAAUACAUAGGUUAACGAGGCGAACCGGGGGAACUGAAACAUCUAAGUACCCCGAGGAAAAGAAAUCAACCGAGAUUCCCCCAGUAGCGGCGAGCGAACGGGGAGCAGCCCAGAGUCUGAAUCAGCUUGUGUGUUAGUGGAACGGUCUGGAAAGUCCGACGGUACAGGGUGAUAGUCCCGUACACCAAAAUGCACAGGCUGUGAACUCGAAGAGUAGGGCGGGACACGUGGUAUCCUGUCUGAAUAUGGGGGGACCAUCCUCCAAGGCUAAAUACUCCUGACUGACCGAUAGUGAACCAGUACCGUGAGGGAAAGGCGAAAAGAACCCCGGCGAGGGGAGUGAAAAAGAACCUGAAACCGUGUACGUACAAGCAGUGGGAGCACCUUCGGGUGUGACUGCGUACCUUUUGUAUAAUGGGUCAGCGACUUAUAUUCUGUAGCAAGGUUAACCGUAUAGGGGAGCCGCAGGGAAACCGAGUCUUAACUGGGCGUUAAGUUGCAGGGUAUAGACCCGAAACCCGGUGAUCUAGCCAUGGGCAGGUUGAAGGUUGGGUAACACUAACUGGAGGACCGAACCGACUAAUGUUGAAAAAUUAGCGGAUGACUUGUGGCUGGGGGUGAAAGGCCAAUCAAACCGGGAGAUAGCUGGUUCUCCCCGAAAGCUAUUUAGGUAGCGCCUCGUGAAUUCAUCUUCGGGGGUAGAGCACUGUUUCGGCUAGGGGGUCAUCCCGACUUACCAACCCGAUGCAAACUACGAAUACCGAAGAAUGUUAUCACGGGAGACACACGGCGGGUGCUAACGUCCGUCGUGAAGAGGGAAACAACCCAGACCGCCAGCUAAGGUCCCAAAGUCAUGGUUAAGUGGGAAACGAUGUGGGAAGGCACAGACAGCCAGGAUGUUGGCUUAGAAGCAGCCAUCAUUUAAAGAAAGCGUAAUAGCUCACUGGUCGAGUCGGCCUGCGCGGAAGAUGUAACGGGGCUAAACCAUGCACCGAAGCUGCGGCAGCGACGCUUAUGCGUUGUUGGGUAGGGGAGCGUUCUGUAAGCCUGCGAAGGUGGCCUGUGAGGGCUGCUGGAGGUAUCAGAAGUGCGAAUGCUGACAUAAGUAACGAUAAAGCGGGUGAAAAGCCCGCUCGCCGGAAGACCAAGGGUUCCUGUCCAACGUUAAUCGGGGCAGGGUGAGUCGACCCCUAAGGCGAGGCCGAAAGGCGUAGUCGAUGGGAAACAGGUUAAUAUUCCUGUACUUGGUGUUACUGCGAAGGGGGGACGGAGAAGGCUAUGUUAGCCGGGCGACGGUUGUCCCGGUUUAAGCAUGUAGGCUGGUUAUCCAGGCAAAUCCGGAUAAUCAAGCGCUGAGGUGUGAUGACGAGGCACUACGGUGCUGAAGUAACAAAUGCCCUGCUUCCAGGAAAAGCCUCUAAGCAUCAGGUAACAUCAAAUCGUACCCCAAACCGACACAGGUGGUCAGGUAGAGAAUACCAAGGCGCUUGAGAGAACUCGGGUGAAGGAACUAGGCAAAAUGGUGCCGUAACUUCGGGAGAAGGCACGCUGGUGUGUAGGUGAAGUCCCUGCGGAUGGAGCUGAGACCAGUCGAAGAUACCAGCUGGCUGCAACUGUUUAUUAAAAACACAGCACUGUGCAAACACGAAAGUGGACGUAUACGGUGUGACGCCUGCCCGGUGCCGGAAGGUUAAUUGAUGGGGUUAUCCGUAAGGAGAAGCUCUUGAUCGAAGCCCCGGUAAACGGCGGCCGUAACUAUAACGGUCCUAAGGUAGCGAAAUUCCUUGUCGGGUAAGUUCCGACCUGCACGAAUGGCGUAAUGAUGGCCAGGCUGUCUCCACCCGAGACUCAGUGAAAUUGAACUCGCUGUGAAGAUGCAGUGUACCCGCGGCAAGACGGAAAGACCCCGUGAACCUUUACUAUAGCUUGACACUGAACAUUGAGCCUUGAUGUGUAGGAUAGGUGGGAGGCUUUGAAGCGUGGACGCCAGUCUGCGUGGAGCCAACCUUGAAAUACCACCCUUUAAUGUUUGAUGUUCUAACGUUGGCCCCUGACCGGGGUUGCGGACAGUGUCUGGUGGGUAGUUUGACUGGGGCGGUCUCCUCCCAAAGCGUAACGGAGGAGCACGAAGGUUAGCUAAUCCUGGUCGGACAUCAGGAGGUUAGUGCAAUGGCAUAAGCUAGCUUGACUGCGAGCGUGACGGCGCGAGCAGGUGCGAAAGCAGGUCAUAGUGAUCCGGUGGUUCUGAAUGGAAGGGCCAUCGCUCAACGGAUAAAAGGUACUCCGGGGAUAACAGGCUGAUACCGCCCAAGAGUUCAUAUCGACGGCGGUGUUUGGCACCUCGAUGUCGGCUCAUCACAUCCUGGGGCUGAAGUAGGUCCCAAGGGUAUGGCUGUUCGCCAUUUAAAGUGGUACGCGAGCUGGGUUUAGAACGUCGUGAGACAGUUCGGUCCCUAUCUGCCGUGGGCGCUGGAGAAUUGAGGGGGGCUGCUCCUAGUACGAGAGGACCGGAGUGGACGCAUCACUGGUGUUCGGGUUGUCAUGCCAAUGGCACUGCCCGGUAGCUAAAUGCGGAAGAGAUAAGUGCUGAAAGCAUCUAAGCACGAAACUUGCCCCGAGAUGAGUUCUCCCUGAGACUUUAAGUCUCCUGAAGGAACGUUAAAGACGAUGACGUUGAUAGGCCGGGUGUGUAAGCGCAGCGAUGCGUUGAGCUAACCGGUACUAAUGAACCGUGAGGCUUAACCUUACAACGCCGAAG
rnacentral:rRNA from 1 species